rnacentral:tRNA from 1 species
GGGGCCAUAGCUCAGCUGGGAGAGCACCUGCUUUGCAAGCAGGGGUCGUCGGUUCGUUCGAUCCCGACUGGCUCCACCA